rnacentral:rRNA from 1 species
UACGUAGGGUCCAAGCGUUAAUCGGAAUUACUGGGCGUAAAGGGUGCGCAGGCGGUUGUGCAAGCCAGAUGUGAAAUCCCCGGGCUUAACCUGGGAAUGGCAUUUGGGACUGCAUGGCUAGAGUACGGCAGAGGGGACUAGAAUUCCUGGUGUAGCAGUGAAAUGCGUAGAUAUCAGGAGGAAUACCGAUGGCGAAGGCAGGUCCCUGGGUCGAUACUGACGCUCAUGCACGAAAGCGUGGGGAGCAAACAGG